AUGAAGGACAUGGCGAGUAUCAAGAAGGAGCGGGUGAGAAAGACCAUCUUGGCCGCCAUAUCUUCUUCUGAUUUACAUAUGAAGCUGGAGCUUGUUGACACGCUGGAACGGACUGGUGUGGCCUAUCACUUUGGCAAAGAGAUCCAAGAGUUAGUAUGUGGCAUGCAAGGUGACGAACAAGGCUUUGGUGACGACCUCCACAUAACCGCAUCGCGGUUCUACUUGUUGAGGAAGCAUGGGUACCACGUAUCUCCUGAUGUGUUUCUAAAGUUUAAAGAUGACCGAGGAAACUUUGCAAGCAAUGAUGUGAACUCAUUGUUGGCACUGUACAAUGCGGCAUAUCUUAGGACUCGUGGGGAAGAAGUGUUGGAUGAUGCUAUUAUUUUCACCAAGAGCCGUCUACAAUGCAUGCUAGAACAUCUAGAACCGUGGUUGGCAGAAGAGGUCCGGUGUACACUGGAGACACCCAGUUUCAGGAGAGUUGAGAGAGUGGAAACUAGACGUUACAUCCCGGCGUAUGAGAAGAAGUCAACACGAGAUGAAGACAUAUUGGAGUUUGCUAAGUUUGACUCCAACAUUUUGCAAACACUCUAUUGUGAGGAGUUGAAAGCUAUUACUAUUUGGUGGAAAGACUUCAAAUCGCAAAUGGAUAUAAAAUUUGCACGAGACAGAAUGGUGGAGCUACACUUUUGGAUACUUGGAGUUGUCUAUGAGCCGCAAUAUUCCUAUUCACGUGUAAUGCUAACAAAACUGCUCAUAUUUGUGUCGUUAUUUGAUGACUUCUAUGACAACUAUAGCACCACAGAAGAAAGCAACAUCUUCACCGCGGCCAUGGAAAGGUGGGGUGAACAAGCUGCAGAGAAUUUACCAGAAAACUUGAAGGCAUUGUACAUCAACAUACUUAACACUACAAAUGAUAUCGAGGAAGAGUUAAAGCAUCAGAAAAAUAAGAAUGCUGAAUUGGUAAAAGAUUUGGUAAUCCACGUGGCCAAAUGCUAUCACGCUGAGGUGAAAUGGCGUGACGAACACUACGUACCAACUAGUGUUGAAGAGCAUCUGCAAAUUUCAGUGCGCAGCAGUGCUUGUAUGCAAAUAAUAAGCUUUGUAUUCAUUUCGCUGGGUGAUGUGACUACAAGAGAGGUGCUUGAGUGGGCUUUAACCUAUCCAAAAAUUAUCAGAUCUGUAUGCAUUGUUGGGCGCAUUGGCAAUGACAUGGUGUCACAUGAGGGUGUGAAUGGAGCUCUUUUGUUGAUCCUAAAAGUAGGGAAGCAAUAUCUAUGGAUGCCACUGUUAUUGGCCCUAGCCCCUGCGGGAGCAAGACUUCUAUCUAGAUCCUAUACAACUGCCACAUUGGCAAAAUCCCUAGGCAGGGGGAUUCCAAAUGCAACAGCCAUCACGACCACCUCAAAUUCAACCAACAAUGGUCAUGUGGAGCGUGAACAAAUAUCACAACAUGUGACAUCCACGGUGCAAACUUGUACAAAAGAGCACGGGAUAACGGUAGCAAAAGCCAAUGAGAAGCUCAAGGUGAUAAUUGAAGAAGCAUGGAUGGACAUAGUCUGCGAAUGCCUCCACAAAAAACAGCCAAUGGUGUUUCUAGAGAAGGCAACCGAUCUUGCCCGGACAAUGGAUUUUAUGUACAAGCGUGAAGAUGCGUUUACCCUCCCAUCCAGUCUCAAAGAGACCUUAACUUCACUUUAUGUGAAUUACAUAUGA
rnacentral:rRNA from 1 species